rnacentral:rRNA from 1 species
UGGUAGUNCACGCCGUAAACGAUGAGUGCUAGGUGUUAGGCCCUUUCCGGGGCUUAGUGCCGGAGCUAACGCAAUAAGCACUCCGCCUGGGGAGUACGACCGCAAGGUUGAAACUCAAAGGAAUUGACGGGGGCCCGCACAAGCGGUGGAGCAUGUGGUUUAAUUCGAAGCAACGCGAAGAACCUUACCAGGUCUUGACAUCCCGAUGCUAUUCUUAGAGAUAGGAAGUUACUUCGGUACAUCGGAGACAGGUGGUGCAUGGUUGUCGUCAGCUCGUGUCGUGAGAUGUUGGGUUAAGUCCCGCAACGAGCGCAACCCUUAUUGUUAGUUGCCAUCAUUAAGUUGGGCACUCUAGCGAGACUGCCGGUAAUAAACCGGAGGAAGGUGGGGAUGACGUCAAAUCAUCAUGCCCCUUAUGACCUGGGCUACACACGUGCUACAAUGGUCGGUACAACGAGUUGCGAGCCGGUGACGGCAAGCUAAUCUCUGAAAGCCGAUCUCAGUUCGGAUUGGAGGCUGCAACUCGCCUCCAUGAAGUCGGAAUCGCUAGUAAUCGCGGAUCAGCACGCCGCGGUGAAUACGUUCCCGGGCCUUGUACACACCGCCCGUCACACCACGAGAGUUUGUAACACCCGAAGUCGGUGAGGUAA